ACAGUGUAUGCUCUGGGUGAGGCAAUUGUCGCGUGAAACUCUAUUGUCUGGAGGAAUGGUCAUAUGGUCGUAGAUAUGCUCUGAUUGUACAUGUCAAGUCGUAUGUAACUACUGGAAGCCGGAGUAUGUAUUUUCUGGGUGGUGGUAAUGGCAGCAUGGUACUAUGCAUGCUUUAGGUGAUAAUAUUGUGGUUUAAUACCGUAUUGGGCCAAAUGAAAAACAAAACAUUGGAAAGGUUUGUCGCUGGAAAACACGUUUAACGACGCCACAGUAUGUUGUGCCUAUCCCAAUUCCUGUGGCUGUAAUUCGGUGGUUUCAGUUUGUUUCUGUAUA
rnacentral:lncRNA from 1 species